GAUAAACGCUGGCGGCGUGCCUAACACAUGCAAGUCGAACGCCCUUUUGCGCAAGUGAGAGGGAGUGGCGGACGGGUGAGUACCACGUGGGUACCUACCUUGAGGUGAGGAAUACCACCGAGAAAUCGGUGACAAGACCGCAUACGCUCGGGCAACCGAGCAAAGUCAUGCAAAUGACGCCACAAGAUGAGCCUGCGCCUGAUUAGCUGGUUGGUGAGGUAACAGCUCACCAAGGCGACGAUCAAUAGCUGGUCUGAGAGGAUGAUCAGCCACACUGGGAUUGAGAACGGCCCAGACUCCUACGGGGC
rnacentral:rRNA from 1 species